rnacentral:rRNA from 1 species
GAUGAACGCUGGCGGCGUGCUUAACACAUGCAAGUCGAACGAGAAGUGCCGACUUAAACCUUCGGUCGGACGGCUUUAUUUCGAGUGGCGUACGGGUGAGUAACGCGUGGCUAACCUGCCUCAUACAGGGGGAUCACAUUUGGAAACGACUGUUAAUACCGCAUAAGACCACAGCACCGCAUGGUCCGGUGGUAAAAACUCCGGUGGUAUGAGAUGUACCCGCGUUCGAUUAGCCAGUUGGCGGGGUAACGGCACACCAAAGAGACGAUCGAUCGCCGAUCGGAGAGGAGGCCCGGCCACAGUGGGACUGAGACACGGCCCAAACGCGUGAGGGAGGCAGGAGUGGGGAAAAUUGAACAAUGGGGGAAACGAUGAAGCAGCGACGCCGAGUGAGUGAAGAAGUAGUUGGGUAUGUAAAGCUGUAGCAGCAGGGAAGAAAAUGACGGUACCUGAGUAAGAAGCACCGGCUAACUACGUG